UAUAAAUACAAAAAAUUCACAAAAUAUUAUUCCAUUAUAUUAUUUUUAUAAUACUAUAUUAAACUUUCUCAUUGAAUUUGUUAUAACUUAUAAAAUGUUAAAUAUUAAUUCUGGAUUUAUAUUGAUAUUGAUUGCUUUAACCUUGACUUGUUCAUCUAUAGCUCAAUCCGCAGUACAAAAUGCACAUGUUGAGGGAUCUCUCACCCCAAUUGUCAGGCAAAGAAAAAUAGAUUAUAAUAGAAUAGCGAAAAUUUUUAAUGUAAUACAAGGAUUACAAAGGAGGAAAAAAUAGAUUUUACUUUAUCAAUAUUUUAAUUAUUAUUUUAGUGAUUUAUAUUGCGGGAAAUGUAAAAAUUUUAAUUAAUAAAAAA